rnacentral:sRNA from 1 species
AUAUCUCUCUGUACGGGAAGGAUGAGAAGCUUCGACUAAGGUUCGAUUCGAGCGCAGCGAGAAAGCGUUGCCGCAGGCAACGACCCGAAGGGCGAAGCGCUCAGCUCUGAGUAAUCCUUCCCCCACCACCA